UACGUAGGGUGCAAGCGUUGUCCGGAAUUAUUGGUCGUAAAGAGCUCGUAGGCGGUCUGUCACGUCGGCUGUGAAAACCCGAGGCUCAACCUCGGGCCUGCAGUCGAUACGGGCAAACUAGAGUACUGCAGGGGAGACUGGAAUUCCUGGUGUAGCGGUGAAAUGCGCAGAUAUCAGGAGGAACACCGGUGGCGAAGGCGGGUCUCUGGGCAGUAACUGACGCUGAGGAGCGAAAGCGUGGGGAGCGAACAGG
rnacentral:rRNA from 1 species